GGCGGAUGUAGCAUCACUCAUUCCUCGAAAAGCAACAGUCAUGAACACUAAGAUCUUCAUCCUGCUUGGCCUGGCAGCCAUCAUUGCUGCAGACAGCCCAGAGAUUUUCGCUUAUGGACCUCCUCGGGGAUCCUCCGAAGAAUCAUUCGAGUCGUUUGAGUCAGGAGAAGCCAAGUACGACUUCAAUUAUGCUGUUCAGCACGAGGACUCGUGCUGA